rnacentral:lncRNA from 1 species
UGAAAUAACAAGUUACAGAUAUGACAAAUAGCAGUUUCAUAUAUUUCAAUGUGGUAAUUUCAUAUAUUUUCACAGAAAUUAGUUUCACAACUUGCAACACCACAUUGAAAUACAUUUCAGAAAAGUAAUUUCAUAUAUUUCAGUACAUUUCUCACCGAAAUAACAGGUUACAAAUAUAUGAAAUAGCAGUUUCAUAUAUUUCAGAGAAGUAAUUUCAUAUAUUUGGACAAAAAAUAGUUUCACAACUUGCAACACCACAUUGAAAUAUAUUUCAGGGAAGUAAUUUCUCACUGAAAUAACAAGUUACAAAUAUGAGAAAUAUCAGUUUUAUGUAUUUCAGAGAAGUAAUUUCAUAUAUUUCAGAGAAAUUAGUUUCACAACUUGCAACAAUACAUUGAAAUAUUAGUUUCACAUUUUUUGCACAGCUCAACUACACACAGCUAUUUCAAUUCAUAUCUCACUGAAAAUCAUUCCAACCAUUUUCAGAAAUAUAUAACACUUCCACAGACUGAAAUUGUCAGUUUCACCAUAUUGAAAUAUAAAUUCACAUAUAUUCCACAAAUCAUUUCACAUAAAUUUGUUUCACAACUUGCAACACCACAUUCAAAUAUAUUACAGGGAAGUAAUUACAUAUUUUCAGAGAAGUAAUUUCAUAGAUCUCAGUCUCUUUCAAAAAACUAUACCCCAUGCUCUCUGUCACAAACAAAGAAUGUUCAAAUCGAGUUGCAAAUAUCUGAAAAUGAAGUAGCAGGGGAGGCCGACGAUCUGGUAAAGAAACAAAGAAUGUUCAACAAAUAUCUGAAACUGAAGUAGCAGGAGAGGC